rnacentral:rRNA from 1 species
UACAUGCAAGUCGAGCGGACAGAAGGGAGCUUGCUCCCGGAUGUUAGCGGCGGACGGGUGAGUAACACGUGGGUAACCUGCCUGUAAGACUGGGAUAACUCCGGGAAACCGGAGCUAAUACCGGAUAGUUCCUUGAACCGCAUGGUUCAAGGAUGAAAGACGGUUUCGGCUGUCACUUACAGAUGGACCCGCGGCGCAUUAGCUAGUUGGUGGGGUAAUGGCUCACCAAGGCGACGAUGCGUAGCCGACCUGAGAGGGUGAUCGGCCACACUGGGACUGAGACACGGCCCAGACUCCUACGGGAGGCAGCAGUAGGGAAUCUUCCGCAAUGGACGAAAGUCUGACGGAGCAACGCCGCGUGAGUGAUGAAGGUUUUCGGAUCGUAAAGCUCUGUUGUUAGGGAAGAACAAGUGCGAGAGUAACUGCUCGCACCUUGACGGUACCUAACCAGAAAGCCACGGCUAACUACGUGCCAGCAGCCGCGGUAAUACGUAGGUGGCAAGCGUUGUCCGGAAUUAUUGGGCGUAAAGGGCUCGCAGGCGGUUUCUUAAGUCUGAUGUGAAAGCCCCCGGCUCAACCGGGGAGGGUCAUUGGAAACUGGGAAACUUGAGUGCAGAAGAGGAGAGUGGAAUUCCACGUGUAGCGGUGAAAUGCGUAGAGAUGUGGAGGAACACCAGUGGCGAAGGCGACUCUCUGGUCUGUAACUGACGCUGAGGAGCGAAAGCGUGGGGAGCGAACAGGAUUAGAUACCCUGGUAGUCCACGCCGUAAACGAUGAGUGCUAAGUGUU